GGAAGAUGGUUCCGAAUCAACUGGAUAGGAUUUUUAAUUUCCGAAGGCACGAGCUCCCCUGGCAUCCGCAAAUGUGACCCGCAAUUUAGAGAGGAAGAGGAGCGCAGACCCUACCUGUCCGGAGUAACGGUCAGGAGAGAGGUGGGGAAGGGCUGGGCCCCUCUCGGUGUCCCGGGUUCCCGGCAGAAGUCUCCAGGGCUGAGGGAGUCUGCAGACACGGAGUUUCCGUGCCAGAGGAGCGGGUCCACGCGGACAGGCAGUUCCAGCUCCGGGUAAGUGCGGCCCCAUCUCCUCUCCGUCCCCGGCUCCGCCAGCAGCAGUCCCGGAGAGAUUUCCCCUCCCCGCCGCCCGCGCUCUCUCUCCUCCUGCGCCCAGGCCGGUCUCCGGCUCCGGAGUCGGACGGCGACGGUGCAGAUGAGGGCGCACAGGGGACGGUCCUGGAGCCCGGGAAGGGUGCGAGAUGGAGACGGCGGUUCAGAAAAGUUGUCAGGUCUCCAGCCCGGGCAGUGGCGGGAGCUGGAGCCGCGGUGGAGACGACUCGAGGGGACGCAGCCCGCCUGGCACAAAGGGCCACGGGCGCGAGGGACUCGAUGAGCUGGGAGAUCGCGGCCCCGGCAGGUGCGGCGCGCUGGGGCGGGUGCUUGGCGCCUUCCCCGGCACAGGUGACACGGAACAGCUUUCACCAAGGUCUUGGAACUAGGAUUGGGGUGGGGUUCAUCCCACCCAGACCACAGAGACUGAAAAUAAGAAAGGGGUGAGGCCUAAGGGACAAUCAGGAUGUUUUUCAGAGAGAAGUGUGGAUGCUGGACAGGAAGAACCACAGAUACCAGAUACGGGUACUGUUGUAACUCUGUUCUCCAUGAAAAGAUCUAAGAAUGCUAUGGAAAAACACCACCUGUCCCCUACCUUCCAGCUUUGUACUGGGAAUUCCCUCUAUGGGAAAGUCAUGGUGGUAUCGACUGUAGAUUGGCAGAUGACAGAGGGCCUCUUUGAGGGGGUGCCAGAUGGCUGAGGAUGCCUGACCAGGGGCUGACAUCUCUGCACACAUCCUGGUGGAGAGGUUUCCAGGCUGAGCAAGGAGCCAGUAACAGCCAUGAAGACAGCACAGAGGAAGCUGUGUCAAAAAAUCAGAAACCGAUAUUUCAGACAAGCCUGGUUACAAAAUUAUGAGGAACCUUUGGCCCUUUCCUUCACCCUAAGCAGUGACAUCAACACCAUCACCCCGGAUGAAUAUCAGUUUACUUACCGAGGCUCCUUCAAGCUCUUGGCAGGCAAGACCAUGGACCCAAGAGGGUAUGUAACUGUGUAUUGUCAGCGACUCCACACGGCUACAUUUCGGUAUUUAAUGAGGCAUUGAUCUUGCUGGAGAUUUUUGAAAGUCUGGCCAGCUGGCCCAUUGGAAGGAGACCUGAGCUUGGUUCUCUGUGCCUGAGUCGUUGGCUGUCUAUGCUACAGGAACUGCCUCAGCUGUGGAAAUGCCAUGAAUCCUUUUCCCCGUUGGCCAUGCAGCAGGCAGGACAUACUUUAUUCAGCUGGGUGCUGAAAAAGAAUCUUGGAAAUUAGGAAACUGAAUGAGGCCUCAUUUCACACUCAGAAUGUGGGUUGCAAUAGUCACUUCCUCUGCUGCUGGGAAAGAAAGAAUUAUACUACCUUUUGAAUUUUGGAUUAAGGAGAGAGGUGUUGGCUUGUCAAACUACCAUGUAUUCCUCAAGACAUAUUUUUGUGGCUUUAUAAAAUUCAAUAUAUAUGUCUAAAUUCAAAAAUAUUUUGUUGCAAUCUGGCCCUUGGACAAACUGAGGCCCUAGCAACUGAUGUUUAUGGCUUUCCGUAGAACCUUUCAGAUAAAAUUUACACAGCAUUUUACUGCAGCUAUUUCACACAAAGCAGAGGAUUUUGCCACAAAACUGAAAGAAAAAAGAAACUGCAUUCUUAAAUUUUUCAUAAAUCAAAAGGUAUAAAAAUAUCUACCUAAACGAUAAAGGAGAUGAGAAACCCCACCCAUGAUGGGAAGAAAGCCUAUUUCAGUUUUGCCUUUACUUCAAGUUCUUUUUUCCAUAUCUGGAAUGCAAUCAGAAUUUUAAUCUUGCCUUGGGUUCCUCCUGGAUUUGGGGAGAAGACAAAACCUGAAAAUCUCUAAUCUGCAUGUGUUCAGCUGCGUAUCUUCUGGAUACGGAAGGAUCACACUGCACAGAGUGCUGGACUUGCAGGAGCCCCGCUUCUCAACCUCCAUCGCUUUAUGAAUGAAUUCACCAGAAAGGUAACUGGCCACUUUUACAAGGGGAAAUAAACCAACUAAACGUGACAUUGGAUUUUUCCCAGAUUCUUUAUUAAUGGUGCUUCUGCAUCGCUUUACCUUUUCAAGUAUAAGUUACAGCAGAUAAUUCUUCUGAGAAUGAUCUCCUAAGGCAUGUCUUCCUCUUUGCAUUUUUAUCUGGACCCUGUCCCAUCUAUAGGGUCACAUUUUUUAUUAGAAAUGUUGCUGAAGAUCCCCUCAAAAUAACAAAUACGAAAGGAAGAAUCAACACUUUCAGAGAUGGAGCCUGUUGAGCCACAGUACCAACUAGUCAAUGCUGAAUCGACUUCUCCCUUUCUACAUUGCCUGAGAGAAGUCAUUGGGGAAUACUCUGUACACGAAUUUUCACUGUUGGGGAAAACAGGUAUUGGAAGUGAUGGGUAGACCUCAGUUUGUAUGCAUUGUGUUAAUUACUAUUUCUUUGCUUUUCCUUUUUUUGUGCGGUUGCAGAGAGUCAAGGGAUUGGAUUGUGGAUUGCAUUGGUGGUUUUCCUCAGUUUCCUCAUCUUCUCCACAAGUUUCUACAUAUCGAAUGCAGAGCAGCCCUUCUUCAAAGGACCUCCUACGGAAGCUGCUAAGGAACUCAGUCUGUAGCUCUGCGUGGAGCCAUGUGUAAACACUGAACUGAGACCUGCCACCUCCUACUACCUAAGGGCCCAUUUUCAUCUGAUAUCAUCCCCCAGAAACAAACUCAUGAUGACUUCCAUGUUUUUUUUAGAUUAGAUACAUGGAGAAUUUUCCUUUCCCUUAGAAUUAAAAUCCUGCAUUCUAAUUUUCAGUAAGCUUUUUUAUUUCUGAAUAAUUUUAAAUUUAAAGAGAAGUUGCAAAGAUAGUAUAGAAUGUUCCCUUAUACCUGUUUUUAUUUAGAGUGAUGUUCCCAGGAGAAAUGAUAAUGCAGCAAUGGACAAGAACAGGAACAAGAGACAGUCUUACCAUCUUCUUACAAUUUAUAGAUGGGACAGUGGAAAGAGAAGCCACAUCGGGGUUGGGCAUGCAGAGACCUGGUCCUAAAUCUGUGUGACUUUUGCGAAAUCCUUUUGCCUCACAGAGCUCUAGGUUCUUAUCUGUCAAACAGGAACCAGACCAUCAGAUCCGUAGAGAUCCAACCAAUGAAGGAGACUUCGAAAACUUCACAUUGCCGUGUCAAUGUGAGGUUGCUGGAUGGUUAUGACAAGAAAUCACAUUAAAUUCACUGGGGUAACAUUGUUCAUGAAACGGGAUAAUGUGUUUCAGCGAUGAACCACCCAUGGCCUUACUACAGACAUAUUUCCACUUUGAAAAUGUGUGUGAGUGUACAUGUCUGUGUGUGAGGCAGAGAUUAGAAAGUGUAAAUGUGUGCGUUUUCAUUUUACACAUCUUACAUUUUCCUUUAAUUUGUUUGAAAGCCUGUUUUGUUUGUGGCUUCCAUUCCUGGAAGUCCCAUGAGUUGUUAGUGGUGAAGAUGGAACAGAUGUGUCCAACCCGGGGGACUCCUGCCCUCAGGGACUGAGCAGCUGCAAACCUCUCUCUCAUCUGAUUCCACUGUUUCUUCCACAUGUACACAUCAUGAGAAAUAUUGUUCAAUCAAUAUCUUCCCUUAAAUCAACUCAUAUGCUUAUUUACAUGAAUUUACCUAAAACAGAAACUUGAUAUCACUUCUGUAAAUGAAAAAAUUAAACUUUCUGGCUUUAAAUAAAGCAUAACAAUAAUAAUCAUGUCA
rnacentral:lncRNA from 1 species